GACGAACGCUGGCGGCGUGCUUAACACAUGCAAGUCGAACGGAAAGGCCCUGCUUUUGUGGGGUGCUCGAGUGGCGAACGGGUGAGUAACACGUGAGUAACCUGCCCUUGACUUUGGGAUAACUUCAGGAAACUGGGGCUAAUACCGGAUAGGAGCUCCUGCUGCAUGGUGGGGGUUGGAAAGUUUCGGCGGUUGGGGAUGGACUCGCGGCUUAUCAGCUUGUUGGUGGGGUAGUGGCUUACCAAGGCUUUGACGGGUAGCCGGCCUGGGAGGGUGACCGGCCACAUUGGGACUGAGAUACGGCCCAGGCUCCUACGGGAGGCAGGAGUGGGGAAUAUUGCACAAUGGGCGGAGGCCUGAUGCAGCAACGCCGCGUGCGGGAUGACGGCUUUCGGGUUGGAAACCGCUUUCGCCUGUGACGAAGCGUGAGUGACGGUAAUGGGUAAAGAAGCACCGGCUAACUACGU
rnacentral:rRNA from 1 species